rnacentral:rRNA from 1 species
GUGUCAGCAGCCGCGGUAAUACGUAGGGGGCAAGCGUUGUCCGGAAUCAUUGGGCGUAAAGAGCGUGUAGGCGGCCAGAUAAGUCCGCUGUGAAAACUCGAGGCUCAACUUCGAGCUGUCGGUGGAAACUAUUUGGCUAGAGUCCGGAAGAGGAGAGUGGAAUUCCUGGUGUAGCGGUGAAAUGCGCAGAUAUCAGGAAGAACACCCGUGGCGAAGGCGGCUCUCUGGUACGGAACUGACGCUGAGACGCGAAAGCGUGGGGAGCGAACAGGAUUAGAAACCCCCGUAGUCC